rnacentral:rRNA from 1 species
UAAUACGGAGGGGUGCAAGCGUUAAUCGGAAUUACUGGGCGUAAAGCGCACGCAGGCGGUUUGUUAAGUCAGAUGUGAAAUCCCCGGGCUCAACCUGGGAACUGCAUUUGAAACUGGCAAGCUAGAGUCUCGUAGAGGGGGGUUAGAAUUCCAGGUGUAGCGGUGAAAUGCGUAGAGAUCUGGAGGAAUACCGGUGGCGAAGGCGGCCCCCGUGGACGAAGACUGACGCUCAGGUGCGAAAGCGUGGGGAGCAAACAGGAUUAGAUACCCUGGUAGUCCACGCUGUAAACGAUGUCGAUUUGGAGGUUGUGCCCUUGAGGCGUGGCUUCCGGAGCUAACGCGUUAAACUCGACCGCCUGGGGAGUACGGCCGCAAGGUUA